AGUGGUUGGUGGCACAACUUCCCAUUCAGGGCGGUUGGCUCACGCACAUAAGUACAGAUAUGCAAGUGCCAAAACCCGCCUAAAAAGCGGGUUUUUUUAU
rfam:Xenorhabdus khoisanae strain MCB contig140, whole genome shotgun sequence.